rnacentral:rRNA from 1 species
UACGGGGGGGGGCAAGCGUUGUUCGGAAUUACUGGGCGUAAAGGGCUGGUAGGCGGCCAACUAAGUCGGAUGUGAAAUCCCCAGGCUUAACCUGGGAACUGCAUCCGAUACUGGUCGGCUUGAAUCCGGGAGAGGGAUGCAGAAUUCCAGGUGUAGCGGUGAAAUGCGUAGAUAUCUGGAGGAAUACCGGUGGCGAAGGCGGCAUCCUGGACCGGCAUUGACGCUGAGGCGCGAAAGCCAGGGGGAGCAAACGGG